UGGGGAAUUUUGGACAAUGGGCGAAAGCCUGAUCCAGCAAUGCCGCGUGUGUGAAGAAGGCCUUCGGGUUGUAAAGCACUUUUGUCCGGAAAGAAAUGGCUCUGGUUAAUACCUGGGGUCGAUGACGGUACCGGAAGAAUAAGGACCGGCUAACUACGUGCCAGCAGCCGCGGUAAUACGGAGGGUCCAAGCGUUAAUCGGAAUUACUGGGCGUAAAGCGUGCGCAGGCGGUUGUGCAAGACCGAUGUGAAAUCCCCGAGCUUAACUUGGGAAUUGCAUUGGUGACUGCACGGCUAGAGUGUGUCAGAGGGGGGUAGAAUUCCACGUGUAGCAGUGAAAUGCGUAGAGAUGUGGAGGAAUACCGAUGGCGAAGGCAGCCCCCUGGGAUAACACUGACGCUCAUGCACGAAAGCGUGGGGAGCAAACAGG
rnacentral:rRNA from 1 species